rnacentral:rRNA from 1 species
UACGUAGGGUGCGAGCGUUGUCCGGAAUUAUUGGGCGUAAAGAGCUUGUAGGCGGUUUGUCGCGUCUGCCGUGAAAAUCCGGGGCUCAACCCCGGACUUGCGGUGGGUACGGGCAGACUAGAGUGUGGUAGGGGAGACUGGAAUUCCUGGUGUAGCGGUGAAAUGCGCAGAUAUCGGGAAGAACACCCGUGGCGAAGGCGGCUCUCUGGGACGGUACUGACGCUGAGACGCGAAAGCGUGAGGAGCGAACAGG